AAUCAACGCUGGCGGCGUGCCUCAGACAUGCAAGUCGAACGCGAAAGUUUCCUUCGGGAGAUGAGUAGAGUGGCGCACAGGUGAGUAACACGUGAGUAAUUUACCUCGGGUGGGGAAUACUAACCGGAAACGGUUGUUAAUACCGCAUAAUGCAGCGGCAUCAAUGAUGACAGUUGUUAAAGCGGGGGAUUGGAGCAAUCCGACCUCGCGCCUGAAGAGAAGCNCGCGGCAGAUUAGCUAGUUGGUAAGGUAAUGGCUUACCAAGGCGACGAUCUGUAACCGGCCUGAGAGGGCGGUCGGUCACACUGACACUGAAUAACGGGUCAGACUCCUACGGGAGGCAGCAGUCGGGAAUUUUGGGCAAUGGGCGCAAGCCUGACCCAGCAACGCCGCGUGAAGGAUG
rnacentral:rRNA from 1 species